rnacentral:rRNA from 1 species
UACGUAGGGGGCAAGCGUUGUCCGGAUUUAUUGGGCGUAAAGAGCGUGUAGGCGGUUUGGUAGGUCCGCUGUGAAAACUCGAGGCUCAACCUCGAGACGCCGGUGGAAACCAUCAGGCUAGAGUCCGGAAGAGGCGAGUGGAACUCCUGGUGUAGCGGUGGAAUGCGCAGAUAUCAGGAAGAACACCAACGGCGAAGGCAGCUCGCUGGGACGGAACUGACGCUAAGGCGCGAAAGCGUGGGGAGCGAACAGG